UACGAAGGGGGCUAGCGUUGCUCGGAAUCACUGGGCGUAAAGCGCACGUAGGCGGGUCGUUAAGUCGGGGGUGAAAUCCUGGAGCUCAACUCCAGAACUGCCUUCGAUACUGGCGACCUUGAGUCCGGGAGAGGUGAGUGGAACUCCGAGUGUAGAGGUGAAAUUCGUAGAUAUUCGGAAGAACACCAGUGGCGAAGGCGGCUCACUGGUCCGGUACUGACGCUGAGGUGCGAAAGCGUGGGGAGCAAACAGG
rnacentral:rRNA from 1 species